AGAAGAAAAGAUAGGGAAGUGCUGGCUGCAGCCUACUGGGAAGAUGGCCAAGGUCCGAAUAUAAGCGUGUAACACAGAUUGAUAGCUUUUUCUCAAAUCAGCGGAUUGUGGUGGAUGAUCGUUCUUAGUUCUUAUUACAAAAAGAUGUUUUAAGGGUUAAGGUGUUGAAGCUUUUAUGGAAUCUGUUUAUAAAAGUGGAACCGUAUCUGUUAGUUUGUGUUUUUAUAGGAGAAAAUAAUGCGAUUAAGCAAUGACAGCUCUGUAGCGCCUUUAUAUGCCCUGGGCUGCACAAUGAACGUAUUAAUAUAUAUUCCCUAGACCUAGUGAUCCGGAUAAAUCGCUGGACCACUUUCAGACUUGGAAUUGUGAAAUGAAACUGUUCAUUUGGAACUUGGAAUUCCCAGUAAGUGUGAGUCGUUAAUUCACAUUGAUUGAGUCCAUGCUCUUU
rnacentral:ncRNA from 1 species